GAAAGUAAGCAAGGGCAGACGGUGGAUGCCUUGGCUCUCGGAGGCGAUGAAGGACGUGAUAAGCUGCGAUAAGCUUGGGGUAGGUGCAAAUAACCUUUGAUCCCAAGAUUUCCGAAUGGGGCAACCCGGCUGGUGGAAGGCCAGUCAUUCCGUAAGGAAGGCGAACGUGGGGAACUGAAACAUCUAAGUACCCAUAGGAGAAGAAAACAAAAGUGAUUCCGCAAGUAGUGGCGAGCGAACGCGGAACAGCCCAAACCGAUGAUGUUUAGGCAUUGUCGGGGUAGUAGGACCACGUUGUGGCAAGAGAUUAAGGAAGUAGAACGUUUUGGAACAAACGGCCGUAGACGGUGAAAGCCCGGUAUACGACUCUUUAACGAAGCCUAGUGGAAUCCUGAGUAGCGCGGAGCACGAGAAAUUCUGUGUGAAUCAGCGGGGCCCAUCCCGUAAGGCUAAAUACUCCCGAGAGACCGAUAGCGAACCAGUACUGUGAAGGAAAGGUGAAAAGCACCUCGAACAGAGGAGUGAAAUAGUCCCUGAAACCGUCUGCCUACAAGCGGUCGGAGCAACGUAAGUUGUGACGGCGUGCCUUUUGCAUAAUGAACCUACGAGUUACUUUCUCCGGCAAGGUUAAGGGCUUCAGGCCCGGAGCCGAAGCGAAAGCGAGUCUUAAUAGGGCGUGAUAGUCGGAGUGAGUAGACGCGAAACCAAGUGAUCUACCCUUGGUCAGGAUGAAGGUUGGGUAACACCAACUGGAGGUCCGAAUGGGUAUACGUUGAAAAGUGUUCCAAUGAACUGAGGGUAGGGGUGAAAGGCUAAUCAAACUUGGAGAUAGCUCGUACUCCCCGAAAUGCAUUUAGGUGCAGCCUUUAUUUAGUAUAGCAUGAGGUAGAGCGACUGAUUGGAUGCGAGGGCUUCACCGCCUAUCAAGUCCAGAUAAACUCCGAAUGCGUGCUAUAUAUUGAUAAGGAGUGAGGGCGCGGGUGCUAAGGUCCGCGUCCGAGAGGAGAAGAAUCCAGACCAUCAGCUAAGGUCCCCAAAUAACAGUUAAGUUGAACUAACGAAGUCGGACUGCAGAGACAGCUAGGAUGUUGGCUUGGAAGCAGCCAUUCAUUUAAAGAGUGCGUAACAGCUCACUAGUCGAGGAGUCCGGCGUGGAUAAUACUCGGGCAUAAACUGUUUACCGAAGCUAUGGAUGUAGAAAUACAUGGUAGGGGAGCAUUCCAACGGCGUUGAAGGUGAAGGAUGACCUUUGCUGGAGCUUUUGGAAACGCAAAUGUAGGUAUAAGUAACGAUAAAGGAGGUGAGAAACCUCCUCGCCGAAAGACUAAGGUUUCCUGAUCAACGUUAAUCGGAUCAGGGUAAGUCGGGACCUAAGGUUAAGCCGAACGGCGAUACCGAUGGGAGAAUGGUUUAAUAUUCCCAUACUACUUUAUGGAGCGAUGUGGAGACGGAGAAGUGAAAGUCCUGCCAUCUGACGGAAUAGGUGGUUGAAGAGUGUAGAUGUAGAUUCCUGUAGGCAAAUCCGCAGGGAGAGUCGACCUUGACAGUAUGCCGCGUGCUUGCACAAGGCAAAAUGGACGUAAUCAGGCUCCCAAGAAAAUCCGCUAAGCAUAUUCAUAAAGUACCCGUACCGUAAACGGACACACGUAGUUGGGUUGAAAAUACUGAGGCGCUCGAGUGAUUCACGGUUAAGGAACUAGGCAAAUUGACCCUGUAACUUCGGGAUAAAGGGUCCCUACUGAGAGGUAGGGCGCAGAGAAUAGGUCCAGGCAACUGUUUAACAAAAACACAUGGCUGUGCGAAAUAGAAAUAUGAAGUAUACAGCCUGACACCUGCCCGGUGCUGGAAGGUUAAGAGGAGAGCUCAUCGCAAGAGAAGGCUUGAAUUGAAGCCCCAGUAAACGGCGGCCGUAACUAUAACGGUCCUAAGGUAGCGAAAUUCCUUGUCGGGUAAGUUCCGACCUGCACGAAUGGUGUAAUGAUCUGGACACUGUCUCAACCGUGAGCU
rnacentral:rRNA from 1 species